rnacentral:rRNA from 1 species
UGCGGAGGGGGCUAGCGUUGUUCGGAAUUACUGGGCGUAAAGCGCACGUAGGCGGCUUUGUAAGUUAGAGGUGAAAGCCCGGGGCUCAACUCCGGAAUUGCCUUUAAGACUGCAUCGCUAGAAUCAUGGAGAGGUGAGUGGAAUUCCGAGUGUAGAGGUGAAAUUCGUAGAUAUUCGGAAGAACACCAGUGGCGAAGGCGACUCACUGGCUCGGUACUGACGCUGAGGUGCGAAAGCGUGGGGAGCAAACAGG